CAAUAGCGUAUAUUAAUGUUGUUGCAGUUAAAAAGCUCGUAUUUGGACUUCUGCCCGGAGCGUCCGGUCGUCCCCUCACGGGGUCUGUACUUGGACGUCUUUGGGCAUCCUUGGCGAGAGCGUGUUGGGCAUUAAGUUGUCCGGCGUGGGAUCGCCAUCAUUUACUGUGAAAAAAUUAGAGUGUUUAAAGCAGGCGUUUGCUGUGAAUACAUUAGCAUGGAAUAAUAAGAUAGGACUUUGGUGCUAUUUUGUUGGUUUGUACACCGAAGUAAUGAUUAAUAGGGACAGUUGGGGGCAUUCAUAUUCCAUUGUCAGAGGUGAAAUUCUUGGAUUAACGGAAGAUGAACUACUGCGAAAGCAUCUGCCAAGGAUGUUUUCAUUGAUCAAGAACGAAAGUUAGGGAUCGAAGACGAUCAGAUACCAU
rnacentral:rRNA from 1 species